GAUUGACGGCCACAUGAGCACCGAUACCAUGAAAGACAGGAGAGGCCGAUGCUGGAGUUCCCGCACGGAUUGCAAGGUCUAUCAGAGCCAGACUCAGAAGUCAGGCAGAGAAGCCACAUAGAGCAGAGGACUGAAAGGGUUUACACUUGGGUUUUGGCAUCAAUCCGGAGGUCUUGCCAGAGAGGCCAGAAGAGCCAAAGGUCUGAGCCGGGAAGCAGAGCCUGCAGGUCUGACCAGAGAUUUCAUGGCAUCAGAGUCCAGAGGCCUGUUCAACCCAUGUCUACUCACAUCAAGGGUAACCUCUGCUGCUCCGACUGGAUCCUCACUGACGGUGCCCCUCGCAUUGCCAUCCUCCUCCUCACCUCUGCUUCUGACCGGGGUCAUCGCUCACCUGUAUCUCUGUGCCAUGGUCUCCUGCCUCAUCUUCCUGCCUCCAGUCUUCUGUCCUUUAAAUUACCUUCCUCAAACCUGCCACGGUGAUGUGUCUGGAAUAUAAAUACGAUCUCACCACUGCCAGGCUUAAAUCCCUUCACGAUCCCAAGUACUUGCAGGAGAAGUUCCAGAUCUGCGCUGCCCGUAGGGUGCCUACUGCUACACGUGGCUCCUGGGCACUUGAUAUGUGGCUCGUCAGAACUGAGACGUGCAGAAGCGUAAGAUACUCAACAGAUUUUGAACAUUUGGUACAAAAACAAACAAAACCAACCUGUAUAUAAAAAUUUAUCCUCAGUCACUUUAAAUACUGAUUACAUGUUAACAUGAUAACAUUUUGAAUAUAUUGGGUUUAAUAAAACAGUCUUGAAAUUAAUUUUAUCUGUUUCU
rnacentral:lncRNA from 12 species